GGUCCGGUGGCCUAGUGGUUAGAGCGUCCACCUCAGAUGCGGGACGUCGUGGAUUCGAACCCAAGUCGAGUCA